rnacentral:rRNA from 1 species
UACGUAGGGAGCAAGCGUUGUCCGGAAUCAUUGAGCGUAAAGCGCGUGUAGGCGGCCCGGUAAGUCCGCUGUGAAAGUCGGGGGCUCAACCCUCGGAAGCCGGUGGAUACUGUCGGGCUCGAGUACGGAAGAGGCGAGUGGAAUUCCUGGUGUAGCGGUGAAAUGCGCAGAUAUCAGGAGGAACACCCAUAGCGAAGGCAGCUUGCUGGGACGUUACUGACGCUAAGGCGCGAAAGCGUGGGGAGCGAACAGG